CACAAGCGGUGGAGCAUGUGGUUUAAUUCGAUGAUACGCGAGGAACCUUACCUGGGCUCAAAUGUAUGUUGACGUAUUCUGAAAGGGAUACUUCUUCGGACAAUAUACAAGGUGCUGCAUGGUUGUCGUCAGCUCGUGCCGUGAGGUGUCGGGUUAAGUCCCAUAACGAGCGCAACCCUAUCAUUAGUUGCCAUCAGGUCAAGCUGGGGACUCUAAUGAAACUGCCUACGCAAGUAGUGAGGAAGGUGGGGAUGACGUCAAAUCAGCACGGCCCUUACGUCCAGGGCUACACACGUGCUACAAUGGCCGGUACAAAGGGCAGCUACCUGGUGACAGGAUGCUAAUCUCAAAAGCCGGCCUCAGUUCGGAUCGGAGUCUGCAACCCGACUCCGUGAAACUGGAAUCGCUAGUAAUCGCGCAUCAGCCAUGGCGCGGUGAAUACGUUCCCGGGCCUU
rnacentral:rRNA from 1 species